rnacentral:RNase_P_RNA from 1 species
GAAAGUAGGUGAUGGUGGUUGCGGGUUGAGUAUCUCAAUCUGAGGAAAGUCCGGGCACCCGAAAGACCAGACUUGCUGGGUAACGCCCAGUGCGAGCGAUCGUGAGGAUAGUGCCACAGAAACAUACCGCCAAUGAGUCAUCCGUCAACGGUCAUUUGUCAUUUGUGUUUGCAGAUGACAAGGGAUAAAAGACGAAGGACAAAUUUGGUAAGGGUGCAAAGGUGCGGUAAGAGCGCACCAGCAGCAUCGAGAGGUGCUGGCUCGGUAAACCCCGGUCGGGUGCAAGGUCGAAGGAACGACGGUUGGUCUUUUACCCGUUCCGCAAAGAGCGAACCGCAAGAGGCGUUUGGUAACAAGCGUCCCAGAUAGAUAACCGCCCUCCGGCUGCAUGGCAGUUCGGGGAACAGAACCCGGCUUACGACUACUUUCUCUA